UACGUAGGGGGCAAGCGUUGUCCGGAUUUAUUGGGCGUAAAGAGCGUGUAGGCGGCCAGACAGGUCCGCUGUGAAAACUCGAGGCUCAACCUCGAGAUGUCGGUGGAAACCGUCUGGCUAGAGUCCGGAAGAGGAGAGUGGAAUUCCCGGGUGUAGCGGUGAAAUGCGCAGAUAUCGGGAAGAACACCCGUGGCGAAGGCGGCUCUCUGGGACGGUACUGACGCUGAGACGCGAAAGCGUGGGGAGCGAAACAGG
rnacentral:rRNA from 1 species